rnacentral:rRNA from 1 species
AUUGAACGCUGGCGGCAUGCCUAACACAUGCAAGUCGAACGGGGCAGCAAUGCCUAGUGGCGGACGGGUGAGGAAUACGUAGGAAUCUGCCCUUAAGUGGGGGAUAACCAGGGGAAACCCUGACUAAUACCGCAUGAUCUCUUCGGAGCAAAGAGGGGGACCGCAAGGCCUCUCGCUUCUGGAUGAGCCUACGUCUGAUUAGCUAGUUGGUAGGUUAAAGGCCUACCAAGGCGACGAUCAGUAACCGGUCUGAGAGGAUGAUCAGUCACACCGGAACUGAGACACGGUCCGGACUCCUACGGGAGGCAGCAGUGGGGAAUAUUGGACAAUGGGCGCAAGCCUGAUCCAGCAAUGCCGCGUGUGUGAAGAAGGCCUUCGGGUUGUAAAGCACUUUAGCCUGGAAAGAAAAAACUUUGGUUAACACCCAAAGUCUUGACGGUACCAGGAGAAUAAGCACCGGCUAACUCUGUGCCAGCCGCCGCGGUAACAC